ACCAACCGGGAUUGCCUCAGUAACGGCGAGUGAAGCGGCAACAGCUCAAAUUUGAAAUCUGGCGUCAUCGGCGUCCGAGUUGUAAUUUGUAGAGGGUGUCUCGGGUGGAGCAUCGGUCCAAGUCCCUUGGAACAGGAUACCGCAGAGGGUGAGAGUCCCGUAUCCGGCCGAUCGUGUCCCCCGCUGUGAGACCCCUUCGACGAGUCGAGUUGUUUGGGAAUGCAGCUCUAAAUGGGUGGUAAAUUCCAUCUAAAGCUAAAUACCGGCCAGAGACCGAUAGCGCACAAGUAGAGUGAUCGAAAGAUGAAAAGCACUUUGAAAAGAGAGUGAAACAGUACGUGAAAUUGUUGAAAGGGAAGCGUAUGAGGCCAGACUUGUCUGCGGGUGUUCCGCCGGUCUUCUGACUGGUGUACUCGCCCGUUUGCAGGCCAGCAUCGGUUUGGGCGGUCGGAGAAAGGCGCUGGGAACGUGGCCCCCUUCGGGGGGUGUUAUAGCCCGGCGUGUAAUGCGACCAGCCCGGACCGAGGAACGCGCACUGCCCGGAUGCUGGCGUAAUGGCCUUAUACGGCCCGUCUUGAAACACGGACCAAGGAGUCUAACAUCUAUGCGAGUGUUUGGGUGUCAAGCCCGGACGCGCAAUGAAAGUGAACGGAGGUGAGAGCUUUAUUGCGCAUCAUCGACCGAUCCUGAUGUCUUCGGAAGGAUUUGAGUAAGAGCAUAGCUGUUGGGACCCGAAAGAUGGUGAACUAUGCGUGAAUAGGGUGAAGCCAGAGGAAACUCUGGUGGAGGCUCGCAGCGGUUCUGACGUGCAAAUCGAUCGUCAAAUUUGCGUAUAGGGGCGAAAGACUAAUCGAACCAUCU
rnacentral:rRNA from 1 species